AUUGAACGCUGGCGGCAGGCCUAACACAUGCAAGUCGAGCGGAUGAAGGGAGCUUGCUCCUGGAUUCAGCGGCGGACGGGUGAGUAAUGCCUAGGAAUCUGCCUGGUAGUGGGGGAUAACGUCCGGAAACGGGCGCUAAUACCGCAUACGUCCUGAGGGAGAAAGUGGGGGAUCUUCGGACCUCACGCUAUCAGAUGAGCCUAGGUCGGAUUAGCUAGUUGGUGGGGUAAAGGCCUACCAAGGCGACGAUCCGUAACUGGUCUGAGAGGAUGAUCAGUCACACUGGAACUGAGACACGGUCCAGACUCCUACGGGAGGCAGCAGUGGGGAAUAGGGGACAAUGGGCGAAAGCCUGAUCCAGCCAUGCCGCGUGUGAAGAAGGUCUUCGGAUUGUAAAGCACUUUAAGUUGGGAGGAAGGGCAGUAAGUUAAUACCUUGCUGUUUUGACGUUACCAACAGAAUAAGCACCGGCUAACUUCGUG
rnacentral:rRNA from 1 species